UUAAUGUGCUUUUUGUUCCACUAGGAGGAGCAGCUGAGAUCAGCUGCAGUAGAGACGGCUGCGAAAGAGAGAGAGGCUGCUGCUAAAAAGGCUGCUGAAGCACAGAAGGCUGCUGCUAGCUUGAAUGUGACUGUGGAUAUUGAGCGCUCUGUAUUGAACACUCCUGGAGGAAAAGGUGCUGGCUUAAAUGUGACCGUGGAUUUGGAGAAAUCCCCACAAUCAUACUCCCUCACUCCAAAGGGGCGAAACAAACCGACCAUGUCCAAAACUGCAGAGGAUUAUGGGAUGGACCAAAACAGUGACGACUCAACGGAUGAUGAGUCUGCGCCCAGGAAACCUAUCCCAUCAUGGGCAGAAGGUCACAUGCUGCAGCAGAUCAUUGUGAAACAGUACUUCAACCCUCCUAAUUUUGAAAACUAUUUGGGAAUAAUUGAAGCACCAAAACUGGAAGCCAUCUUUAACAAGAAAAAGCCUCGCUAUUUUAAACGCACCAGCUCUGCUGUGUGGCACUCUCCUCCACAUGGAAGGAAGUAAUGUCUGUACACUGACACCCUUCAACUUGGACUUGAACAUUGCUGUGUAUUAUAAAUGUGAUGUGAAUGUUGAAAGGGUGGCCAAGUACAAGCUUUAAUUUGUAUAAUCUGUACUGACUGUAAAUGAUGGAUUUUUAUGUUUGGGAUUUAUUAAAAAUGUAAUCCAGGUUUCAGCUUUUGAUUGUAUUUGAUAAUGUUUCUGUAUUGUUGCUCAGUGCUAAAAUACCUGUGUUCAGGUAACUGUUCUAUAUUUACCAGGUGCCAAAAAUAAAUGUGUUUUUAUUAUG